AAGACUAUACUUCACAGGAUCAUAUCUGUAGUCAGUGUUUAAUUACAUUCAUUGCAAAAUGAAAACCCAAAAAUAUACUGUAGU
rnacentral:snoRNA from 2 species